rnacentral:tRNA from 1 species
GCGGGUGUGGUAUAACGGCCAUUAUUCCAGUUUUCCAAACUGGCGACGAGGGUUCGACUCCCUCCACCCGCACCA